CGGUGUUUAACUGGCGUGAUGUGGGACGUCCUACCGGUGGGCUUAGCCUCGCGAGGGGCGGCCCAACUAAUAUCCCGUCGCGGUGCUCUUUACUGAGUGUCGAGUCGGGCCGGUACGUUUACUUUGAACAAAUUAGAGUGCUUAAAGCAGGCUAUCCUCGCCUGAAUACUGCGUGCAUGGAAUAAUGGAAUAGGACCUCGGUUCUAUUUUGUUGGUUUUCGGAACCCCGGGGUAAUGAUUAAUAGGGACAGAUGGGGGCAUUCGUAUUGCGACGUUAGAGGUGAAAUUCUUGGAUCGUCGCAAGACGGACAGAAGCGAAAGCAUUUGCCAAAAAUGUUUUCAUUAAUCAAGAACGAAAGUUAGAGGUUCGAAGGCGAUCAGAUACCGCCCUAGUUCUAACCAUAAACGAUGCCAGCUAGCGAUCCGCCGAAGUUCCUCCGAUGACUCGGCGGGCAGCUUCCGGGAAACCAAAGCUUUUGGGUUCCGGGGGAAGUAUGGUUGCAAAGCUGAAACUUAAAGGAAUUGACGGAAGGGCACCACCAGGAGUGGAGCCUGCGGCUUAAUUUGACUCAACACGGGAAACCUCACCAGGCCCAGACACCGGAAGGAUUGACAGAUUGAUAGCUCUUUCUUGAUUCGGUGGGUGGUGGUGCAUGGCCGUUCUUAGUUGGUGGAGCGAUUUGUCUGGUUAAUUCCGAUAACGAACGAGACUCUAGCCUGCUAAAUAGGCGUACCUUAUGGUAUCGCGAAGGCCCCCGGCUUCGGCCGGUGGGUUUUUACUACCAACGUACAAACAAAUCUUCUUAGAGGGACAGGCGG
rnacentral:rRNA from 1 species